AACGAACGCUGGCGGCUGGCCUAACACAUGCAAGUCGAACGCGACCUUCGGGUCGAGUGGCGCACGGGUGAGUAACGCGUGGGAAUCUGCCCUUGGGUUCGGAAUAACAGUUAGAAAUGACUGCUAAUACCGGAUAAUGUCUUCGGACCAAAGAUUUAUCGCCCAGGGAUGAGCCCCGCGUAGGAUUAGCUAGUUGGUGAGGUAAAGGCUCACCAAGGCGACGAUCCUUAGCUGGUCUGAGAGGAUGAUCAGCCACACUGGGACUGAGACACGGCCCAGACUCCUACGGGAGGCAGCAGUGGGAAUAUUGGACAAUGGGCGAAAGCCUGAUCCAGCAAUGCCGCGUGAGUGAUGAAGGCCUUAGGGUUGUAAAGCUCUUUACCCGGGAUGAUAAUGACAGUACCGGGAGAAUAAGCUCCGGCUAACUCCGUGCC
rnacentral:rRNA from 1 species